CUAUAGGAAGGUGGGGAAUUUAUCCUAGAAUUCUAUAGGAACAAAUAAGAUGCAUUCAAAAAAAUAGAAGUGGUACUCCUUUGAUUACAAGCUAUUGAACUUCCCUUUGUAAUUAUUUUACAAACAAUAGGAAUGUGUGGAAGUACAUAAUCCUCACAAAAACAGUUUGAGGGCACUUCUACUGGUGGCAUGUCAGUGUCUCUAAAGCUUGGUGAUUCAGGCCAAAUUCCUGUGUAAAUAGUGAUUAGUGUUAUCAUUAAAACCCACUAAUAUCCCCAUUUAUUAGCAAAAUCUAAGUAAAAACAUGUAUUGCCUCAACUAUUUUUUCCAGUGUGAUAUUUUCAAGCUUUUAAAUUAGAUCAAUUGGAGAGUAAAUGUAGUUUGUAUCACAAGCAAAACAGGGGAUGAAUAAAACAUAUUUAUGUUCAAAUUCAGUUUUACUCUUUAUGCAGAAGAUUUAUUUAACCAAAUGUGUUCUUUUAAAGUUUUAAGCAAAAAUUUGAUUACCAUAAAGAUGUGAUAUAAAACAUCAUACUUUCCUUUAAUUUCCAUUCAUAAAAGUAAGUAGAUAAAGAUACAGUUUCUACUACUAAAUAAACAAAUGAACUCCACAC
rnacentral:lncRNA from 1 species